ensembl:lncRNA
UAAUAGUGCCAAACGCAGACGUUAUAAUCCUGCUGAUGGGAGAGAUGGAUCAGAAAACCCUUCAUGCUAGAAUUAAAAUAGUUUCCUGGAAACAUUUAGUGAACGAUUAGAUCUUUUUUUUUCCUGCUUACUUUUAAUGUAAAGUACAGAUUCUGAAUACAAAUUAAAGCUGCGAGCAGCGAUGGACGGAUCCUCGCUACUCUGCGCACUUCUUAAUGCAAUAAAUUAAAGCAGGAGAUGAGAAAGAGGGGAAGAUAAGAAUAUUUUUGUCAUUUCAGUAUUUCCUUUUAUGGCAUUCAUCUCAUUCAGACCCAUUAAGUUCCUGUGUUUGCAUGUUUUUCCCACAGUUGUAAUUGUCGUCCCCAUCCCUAAUUUAAUCCCUGCUUGUCUAAUCACCCACAUGUCCCCAGUCUAUUUAAACUGCUUGUUCCUCUGUGUCGGUUUGUCUCUGCUCCCUUUGUUAAUCUGCAUUGGGCUCCAUCCCCAAUGUCUUUUUGCCCAACCAUGACUGAUACACACAAGCAAAAUACUAAAAAAAAAAACGACAAGAUAAAACAAACAUUUCUUCUUUCGAUCAUUAGCAACAGGAAGAAUCUUUGGAGGAUGACAUGCAAUACUUCCCUAUUUAAAUGGUGUAUCUGCAUAAAUCCCAGACAGUCUCAUUGUGUGCGUGUGUGUGUGUGUGUGUGUGUGUGUGUGUGUGUGUGUGUGUGUGUGUGCGUGCAUCAGUAUUCAAAGCUUCUGCUCAUCAGGUUUCACGUUUCCCAGUGUUUUUGUCACGGACGUUAUGAUAUAAAACCUCGCUGCACGCACUUUUUCCUGCAAGAAGAUGUGAACCCGGCUUGUGUUUCACGGGUAUUUCACAGUGUCGUUUUCUGACAUUACCAAAAGCCCAUUCAAUGUUAGGGGGGGAACAAUGAGUAGAGAACACCCAAAGAGCAGGAUUAUAGCAACACUAUUAAAAUUGUAAUUAAAUUUGAUGUUUCCUUGCUGUGACUUCUGCACCAUUUAAUAUGGUACAAGCUCCCUUCAAAAUAUCAAUUUGAAGUGCAUGGGGGGAUUUUGACUUUGGCAUCCCUUAUUAAAUUAUUUAAAACGCUGUAAUUAUCGCUGGAGUCGUGGUUGAGAAGAAAAAUCGGGGCCGACACUCCUGAAACCUGAGCCAAGCCACCGCAGCAUUUCGUUUGCCUAAACACUAUUGACAGGCCUUCCUAUUAGACGUACUUUCAUCGGGUAAGCUUGUUGCUGUAAGCUGCAUUUGAGGCCUUGCUGAGACUCAGCACAAACUUAAGAGAUGAGAAGCAAUUCAACGUUUUGAAGAAGUUCUCCAGCGGCUGAGCCGCUGCAUGCCUUAGGGUUGAACACAUUACCCCGGGCAGACAGUACAAAAUGUGAUGCCAAAUUGAGUUCUCUUUGGACUAUGACUUACUGCAACAUCCAGAUGUUGUAACCAGAUUGGGAAGAUGCUCACUCUGUCAAUAAAUCCAGAAAUAUCCUUUCCAGUCAUGUGGGCGCGAUAUGCGCUUGAAGGCUUUCUAAGAUGUGUGUGUGCCGCAUGUGCCAAUGAGUCGCCAUCAGCCUUUCCCUCGUGCCGCGUAGCAUCACGAGACUCUUCUUCAUCACAGCUCAGCCGUCCGUCCCACAGCCUUCGCUUGCCUUUUCUUCCCGGACCACCUCACCGUCCUCCUGCUACAAGCCUCUCCAGCAGUGAGGUGUUAACACGCCGCUUCACUAUUCUUUUCAUGAAAGCAGACUUUGAUCCUUACUGAAGCGAACAGGCUGGAUGACCUCAUCCGAACACCUUGUACUCACACUCGUUCUCAAUGGGCAGAUGUAAUGUAUGUGAGCUUCAAACAUUUAGAUAUAUUAGAGCAAAAAGAUAUCGGAUUAUGCUACAUGAUGGAGAAAAAAGAAAAAACGACACUACUGCAAAGUGCCCUCCUAGUGUUGGAAAAUUCAUCAUUUCAUUAAUUUCCUGUUUUCAAAGUUUUUAACAAAGAAUGCUGAAAUGCAAAUGAAGACUUCUUCUGCAUUGAGCUAGUUAUGUCCAGUUGAGUAGCCGACUGCCUAAACAGCGGAUUUCAUGACGAGCUGCAGGUUUCGUAAAAUACGACGUAAACUGACUCACCAUCCCAGCGAGCGCUUUCUGUGUGUUUCCCGUGGCGCUGAUAACGCUACGUUUGCAAACAUACAUGAGGCCCUCGGCCUUUAUUCAUACAUUAUAGGAAAUAUAGUCCUUCAUUGGCCCUGGGACACAAUAUUAUCUUUUAACUUUUAAAGACCUGAAUGUAAAUCCUUGCUUCCUAUUCCAGGGUGGGCUGCAGGGAGCGGUGGCAGAUAUGUGAAGCCCCGAGGGAUCUGAUGGGAGUUCAGCAGAUGUCUGGCUAAACCACCCACAGGGAGAGCAAGGCUGUCUGGGAGAUAUGGCCCGACUGACCUCAGAGCUGCCCGUCCCCUUAUCUCUCCGUACAGUCACACACACACACACACACACACACACACACACACACACACACACACGCACACGUGUGCAAACACAACUUAUUUCCUAUCUAUUUUUCUCCUUUCAGUGGGAGCCACAACUUUUACAUUUUAUAUUUAGAAGGUUUUCAUCCAGAUCUCUUCAAAUAAAUAAUAAUAAAAUGAGUUUCACAUUCUUAAGCAAUAUCUACACCUCUGAAAGAGUAGAGCAGGAGACAGAGCGCCGAAGGGACUGAGGGUGUAUGAAAGAGAGGACAGAGCAUCGGUGCGGGUCGCACCGUUGACAUACGAGCCUGAUUCUUGAAAUGGCGAGUUAUGUGUACAUAGCAGAAAGUAAUACAGCGGUGUGGACUCGAUUAGGAAGACCGUUCUAUCACUGUGCAGCCAGGAGAGAAGACAGGUAAAGUGGAGAGGAAAACACACUGAGUGGAAGCAGAGAAAAGGGCGUUCCGGUUGGGGGGGGGUCUUGAUAGCUGUAGCAACAGGCACUCAGGGGCUUCGGGAAGGAAACACACAAAACACGACAGGUAGAAGACAACGGGGGCUAGAAAAGAUUUUUAAUUCUUAAUAUUUGCUUAAACCUUACAAGCCCAACGAUACAAAAAUCUAUUUGCUACACGUGCUUGAACUGUGAGCACCGGCGCUCAUAAAGAAUGUAGUGAUGAAGGAGAUAAGAGUGAUAUUAUUUCCUGAUCCUGAUGAAAGAAGAGACCUAAAGAACUGGAGAACAAUUAGGGAGAAAAAUGGGAGAUAACUAAACACUGUGUCAAAGAAUAUGCAUGUAUGCAAGUGCAGGCUUUGAUUGUGUCUGUGCGCACAGUAUCAGGGAAGCAUCGUAUCCACUCCGCUCUCUCCACAGGUCCAAGACUACCGCCUCCUUUUGUCUGAUGGGUUCGGUACGUCAUAACGCGCGUUUAAGCAGAGAGAAAAGAGAGUUUGUGGAGGCGACUAGUAAGGACACACAUGUUGCAGAAGAAAGAAUGAAUCCACAAAUAAAAAGCCAGAGAAUAAAAGGAGGAGGAAUCCUAAUGGAAAAAUAAACAGAUGAGUAUGGCCACAGGGCUCCUGCACUGUUCUUUUACUGCAACAGACAACUAAAAAGAUAAGCUUUUGUAACAAAAGGUGCUGCCUGUUUAACAAAUUAGCCCCCCCUUAGAAGAACGCUGUACAAUGCAACCAAUGGUAUUCACAUUAACUAAACACUGGGGGAGAAGAAAAGCAAUUAAACCGACCACACAAACAAGACAGAGACGGAUUAUUCAAUAAAAACAAACAGGAGAGUCGGACCCAUUUAAGCAGAAGUGUUAUAGUAAAAUUGUCUACCCUGGAAGCCAAUAUAGAAGACAGAAUAGAAACCAACAGUCUUCCGAAACAACAUAAUCCUGGCAUGAUCAUAAUAGAAAUACAUUAGUGGGAUGGACUGUGUGCUGAGGAUGAUAAUACAGCUCAUCGUGUUCGGCAAACAUAAACUUUUGCACCUCAUUAAAUCCCAGGAAAAUCCACAGAUAGAAAACAACUAUGAAUACAGUGCAACAUGGACGAUACUUUGGCUCAGAUGUCCCAGUCACCUGCGUCCUAUAAAUCGACCCGGGCUCUUCGCUCCCAGUUUAAAUAAAACGUGUGAUUGACAGCGGACUAAUGUGGCAUUAAUCCAUCCUAGAUAUCUUUUUUUCUAUUGGACUUAAUUAACCUUUGAGAGUGGGAAGUGCAAUAUUAUCCCAGUUUUAAACAAUUGAUUUAACGACAAAAGUGUUUGAAAUGAAAUUAUUUAGAAAACGUUUUGCUGUGAUCAAGCUUUUGAAAGUUACUCAACUUUUCUAUUGCACACAAGCGGCGAGUGUUGACUGACGCUAUCUGGCAUCGUCUCAAAAAGGCUUUAAGCUGAAUAACCCAGAAACCUACCAGGGAAAGCAGAGUGAGCCUCACAUUCCCCCUCUGACAGAUCCAGCGGAUGCAGGAUUUAGUGGGCUCUAUUAGAUGAAAAGGAAAAUUUGGAGUCAUUCGCAUGUUGAACCUUUCGUACAGCAUCCUCUGACACGCUUGGAAACCGCUGGUUCCGUGGUGGGUUAUUGAGUCACAUGCAAUAAUUCUGCAACUUAACCGUUCUGGGAAACAAUGUCCUUCACAGUGGUCCUGUAAUAAACACACAGGAAAGUGACUCACUGGAUCAAUGAAGAAAAUUUCCCAUAACAAUUUUUCUUUAGCGAUGAAAAGCUAUUAUCUUACAGAAAGUGUAUUAAUUAACGAAUGGCGCCUGGGAUUAUUAAGCGGUGUGUAAUUACUCGGUCUGUGUUCAGUGCUGAUGAGCAAGCCUGUGACCACAGCUCAUAGUACCGUUUAUACAACGUCUAAUAGUAGCUUCUUCUCCAAAAUACCUUUUAUAAUGUCAAGCGUCACAACCUUUAAGUAACUAUUUGCUCAUAUGCCAUUCAUGCAAAGGUCACCUGCUCCCACAGGAUCACGUUUAUUUUUGAAUGCUUUUGUAAAUUCUUUUGAAAAUACGUGUUCAAAGUACAGAGCUAAACCUCUGAGAAUAAUUUAUUUAAUUUUCCUACUCUGACAUUUAACCCCAAUUUUGACUGUAUCCCAUUCAAACUCAAAAUUCAAAUACACGUAUCACAUGUGGCCCUAAUCCCCUCCUACGCCAGCAACCCAACCUUCCCAAAUACACAGCCGCAGCUCUGCGGCAAUGCUUUGUGACAAAAUCCCCACUAUGAGAAUCAUAUCAGGUUUUGCAAGAUUCUGCAGUGAAUUUCAAUAAACUGAUCAAAGCAUAACAAUAGUAACAAUCAAUCCCUCCAAUGCACUUACGUUAAAUAAUUUCUGAGGACAGAGAGGCGAGACGGAGAGCGGUUGGAGGGAAAGGUCAUUGACAUACGUGAUGCACAUCACAUCCAAUUAAGUUGCCGAGCUUCUUCAUCUGAAUACAGAACAGGAUAGAAGAAAGACAAGGUUUUCAUUUAAUAGCUGAUUCAGGGAUUCAUGGCUCUCUGACUCAGGGAGACACGCAAGAAAAGUCGCCCUUCCCCAUGUUUCAUGUCACUAUGCUGCAAAGAGCAAGCUUUUCUUCAUUAUUAGAUUUGUGCAUGCAGGAAAUAUCAGAGGGACCCGAAACCAAAGGUGGCAGACGUAGGAUAUAUUCACCCUAAUUCAAGCGAGAGUGGGAAUUCAACAUACUCUUUGAUGAGAAUGACAAACGCUGGGCAGUCAGGCUCACGACUUCCUCAGAGAAAGAGGAGAAACAUUAGGACUUGUUUUCAAUUUAGUAAUAUUUUUUGUUUAACAGUAACUGUAUCAGCAAACAUUUGGAUUACAUUUUUAAUGUUCGAUGCAGUGGAGAGAUUUUCCAUAGAUUAACAGUGUUGCAGGGCGGCGUGAUGUGAAUCUUAACAGGAACUUGUCAGAGUGCGAUGGGGUCUCUGGGUCGCCGGCAGGGAUGGUCGAAAAUCCUGCAAGACCAGGUGGCUGCAGGAAUGAGUGGCUUUGCUAAUAGCGACAGUUACGUUGGUAUAUAAUUUUUGCCAUAUCAGUAAGGUACUCCUUAAAAAUGCAAAAAGGUUUGUGUGUAUGUGGAGGUUUGUCUGCUGACCAUCAAAGCACAGGACGGCUUCCAGGAGAAAACCCAUUAGUCGACUAACGACCACAUCAAGCUCUGAGAGCCUCCGUCUGACUUCAAAAGAUUUUUUUUUAAACGUAGCGAACUGACUCAUAUCUGCAGUGUCGGGAUGAAAAGCAAACUGGACCAGUUCCAUCGAUAAAAGACUCAAAGUCGGAGCGCUACUUUGGGUUCGUACAUCGCGGGCUGAAUCGUGGCGCCAUUGAGCUUCUUCAUGUGAUGAGAUCCUGCUAUGGCCAAUUUUUUUCCCCUUGAAAUGAUGGAUUGAUACGAGUCAUAAGAAACAGACACACAUACAGGAAAAACUAACUAAUUCACAGGCAGCCUUCAAACUUCAUCUUUUCAGAGGAUCAUUCUAUAACUCCCACAGUUCCCUUCAAUUUAGUUUCCCGCGUGCUUGUGUCACCGGGUGUCUGGUCGAGGGGCCACACACUGUUCAGUCUGCUCAGUGAGGAAAGCGGGAAAAGUUGGUUCGGUGAGGAGAUGUGAGGAAGAUGAGGGAAAAGGCAGGACGAAGAGCAGGGAGGGGAGGACAGGAAGUUAAUAAGAGAUGGAGCUCAUCUGGAUUCUAUCCAGUAUUCAUGUCCACAGCUUUUGGGGAUUGACAGGCAGAGUCUCAUCUAUAUGAACAGCGAGGUAGAUACUAAAUAUUACAUGUGGUGCAGAGGAGACGAGGCAACACACACAGCCACAAAACCGCAGCCGCACUGUGCAAUUAUCAAUGGUAAUUAUGACUAUUUCAAUAACACAUAUUCAAAUAUUCACACUAAUCACCCACCCAAAAGAAGUGUACUUGUUUAAUCUCAUAGGCGCAUGCAUAUUCUAAUCAACAGUCCAUCAAUAGACAGCGGACCCUCCUUCCCGUCUGAACAUCGGGAUGGAAGGAAAAAACAUCAACCAACAAUUUUGCUCUGUAAUUUCUGACUUGUGCAUUAAAUGAGGGAAGCUACAUUAGCAGUAUUAUAAUGCAUAUAUUUGCACUGAUGAGCUGGGAUGAGGCACUAAUGAAGGGAGCUAAAUAAAGGAAAGAUAAAAAAAAACGGAGGAGAAGAAAUGGGGUUGUGUUUUGAUGACGUAAUAGACUCUUGUCUCUACAUUUGAUGUUUUGAUGCUGUGGCAACGGAACGAGAACAAACAGACUGAACGAGUGAUGUGCUCAGGAAAAAGGAGGUAGAGAUAAAUAUCCCAUCUUCCCUCUGAGUGUACUACUCAAGUUAAUCACUCCAUCAUUUCCUCAUUUAGCUACUCUGUUGGAGGCUCUCUCCACCUCACUUCCCUUCUUCAGCCAUCCUUCUCCUCCAUGAGGAGGCUCCAAUCAGUUAUCCUGCUGCGAGCCGCCAUGCAAAAAUGAUUUCACGUACUCCGAUCAGCGUUCUCGUAGUCUGCGUUAAAUCUGCUGGAUUUAGAUAAAUGCAACAUUAAUUUUUUCACAUUUUGUCAUAGUGUUGUUCUUACAGAUGGCAGUCUGGGUUUCCAAGUGUGAGAGCAAAUGUAAAUAAUAUACUUAUUUAACCUGUGAGGUUUCCCAGACUCAGUCAAUGAAAAGAAAUGAUGGAAAAAAAUGUGUAUUUUUUGCGUGUGUGCCGUUGACCUAAGUUCAAUAAAAGACCCUACUUAGACUUGCCGUGUUGAUUGGCAUCGUUAGCAGAAAGGUCCUGGGUUCAAACCCGCCCGGCACCUUUCUGGGUGGAGUCUGCAUGUCCACUCGUACCUGCAUGGUUCUCUCCGCCGUCAGUCUACAGACAUGCAGGAUGCGUUGAUUAAAUAUACAGAUGGGAGAGCGCGAUGAUAGCUGGGAUGUGACCUUCUGAAGAUAAGCGUUGUAGAAGAUUAAUCACUGACACUAGAAACUGUAGGAUAUUAGAAAUAAACUGACGACCCGAUUCAUAAAAUUAAUAAAAAUGCAUAUAGUGUACACCAGAAUACAGCCAUGAUUCUGAAACUGUGUAAUCAAUAAAGUAAUGACAAUAUUGUAAAACCACUGUAAUUCUGCAACUGUAAUAGAAUAAUACCAAUGCAGUUAUGAUUGUAUUUAAUGUAAUGUAAUCAACUGGAAUGCAUGCAUGUAAUACUUGCACAACAACUGAUAUUGACUAAGGGUCAUUCGACAUCUGAGUUACAUUGAAC